GGCCCCGCACAAGCGGCGGAGCAUGCGGAUUAAUUCGAUGCAACGCGAAGAACCUUACCAAGGCUUGAAAUAUGGGGAAAUCCGGUAGAGAUAUCGGGUCGGUUUUGUCCGGUCCCAUACAGGUGGUGCAUGGUUGUCGUCAGCUCGUGUCGUGAGAUGUUGGGUUAAGUCCCGCAACGAGCGCAACCCUUGUCCUAUGUUGCCAGCGGGGUUAUGCCGGGGACUCAUGGGAGACUGCCGGGGUCAACUCGGAGGAAGGUGGGGAUGACGUCAAAUCAUCAUGCCCCUUAUGUCUUGGGCUUCACGCAUGCUACAAUGGCCGGUACAAAGGGUUGCGAUAUCGUAAGGUGGAGCGAAUCCCAAAAAGCCGGUACUCAGUUCGGAUUGGGGUCUGCAACUCGACCUCAUGAAGUUGGAGUCGCUAGUAAUCGCAGAUCAGCAACGCUG
rnacentral:rRNA from 1 species